rnacentral:rRNA from 1 species
CCGCUCCUACGGGGCGCAGCAGUAGGGAAUCUUCCACAAUGGACGAAAGUCUGAUGGAGCAACGCCGCGUGAGUGAAGAAGGGUUUCGGCUCGUAAAGCUCUGUUGGUAGUGAAGAAAGAUAGAGGUAGUAACUGGCCUUUAUUUUACGGUAAUUUCUUAGAAAGUCACGGCUAACUACGUGCCAGCAGCCGCGGUAAUAAGUAGGUGGCCAGCGUUGUCCGGAUUUAUUGGGCGUAAAACGAG